UACGGAGGGUGCAAGCGUUAUCCGGAUUCACUGGGUUUAAAGGGUGCGUAGGCGGAUAGGUAAGUCCGUGGUGAAAUCCUGCAGCUUAACUGUAGAACAGCCAUUGAUACUGGAUAGCUUGAGUACAGACGAGGUAGGCGGAAUUUAUGGUGUAGCGGUGAAAUGCAUAGAUACCAUAAAGAACCCCUAUUGCGAAGGCAGCUUACUAGGCUGUAACUGACGCUGAGGCACGAAAGCGUGGGGAUCAAACAGG
rnacentral:rRNA from 1 species